GCGAGAGUGGCGGAAUUGGUAUACGCACUGGACUUAGGAUCCAGCGGGGUGACCUAUGCGAGUUCAAGUCUCGCCUCUCGCACCA
rnacentral:tRNA from 1 species